UACGGAGGGUGCGAGCGUUAAUCGGAAUUACUGGGCGUAAAGCGUGCGCAGGCGGUUUUGUAAGGCAGAGGUGAAAUCCCCGGGCUUAACCUGGGAACUGCCUUUGUGACUGCAAGGCUUGAGUGCGGCAGAGGGGGAUGGAAUUCCGCGUGUAGCAGUGAAAUGCGUAGAUAUGCGGAGGAACACCGAUGGCGAAGGCAAUCCCCUGGGCCUGCACUGACGCUCAUGCACGAAAGCGUGGGGAGCAAACAGG
rnacentral:rRNA from 1 species